AUUUAUAUAAUGGGAUAGAUAAAAAGUCGAAUAAUAAAUCGAAUUCAAAUUUUAGAAAUGCACAAAUAAUACCACUUUAAAAUCAAAAGUUUAGGGUUUUUAACGAUAUUUUAUUAUUAAUUUUGCCGCUUAUAUUGGCCGGGUUAUUAACUGUUUUACGUAUUUUAUUUAUAUUUUUAUUUUUUACUAUAUUAACAUAUAUAUACGAUAAAAGCUCUAAUUUUUAUUCAGAAAUAAUAUUUAUAUUUAUUUAUAUAUAUAAAUAUUUUAUUAUUAAUUUCAAAACACUUAUUUAAAAUUUUAUAGUAAGAAAUAUAAAAUUUAUUAAAUUUAUUAAAUUUAUUUUUAAUAAAUAAUAGGUCUGGUACUUAAAUUUCUAAAUAUGAUAUUAUAAUAUAUACUUGACGUAUAACUUAUAUUUUGGUUUAGUUUUAAAAAAUUUAUUUAUUUAAAUAAAAAUAAAGAUAAUAAUAAUUGCAAAUAUUGUUAUUUUUAUUAAUAAAAUAGCCGAUUUUUGGUUUUUUGCAAAAUAAAUUAACGUGGACGUUUGUUUAUAUAUAACGACCAAUCGUUAAAAUUCUUGUCCGCCUAUCGUAAAAACUGGUUAAAAUGCAAACCCGUUUCGAUUAUAAAUUUUACUAAAUUUUAAUUUGUUUUACCUAUUUGGUUUUUAAUACGUUAUAUUACGUAAUAUUAGUACCAAAGUUUAUAAAUAUAUAAAUUAUACCAAUAUUACCCCCUACGUACAAAAAUUUUCAAAUUAUACUGUAAAAUAAAAUAAUAAUAAAAUAAAAUCGAAAAAACACAAAAUUUCAACAAAACCCAACCUCCAUAUAAAAAUAAACGAAAACCCAUAUCCAAUUCGGCCAAUUUGCGUAUUAAAAAUUAAUCUCAAAACUCAGACUAGCCCACCCUUGUUUCGCAAAAACGGCCCGCGCGUUUAUAUACCUUACCAACCACAUGGUUUUUCCACCAAUUAUAUUGGCGGAAAAAAUAACGCGCGUUUUAAUUUAAAAACACCUCGUCGAUUUUCGUCGUUAACGAUUAAAUUGCAUCGCCACGUUAAAUUAAUAUCGUUUCCAAUAAUAAUAUUUUUAUUACAAAAAUUGCAAAAAAAAAAAAAAAAUCCCAAUACCCACCCGCGUAUAUUUUAUAAUAAAAUUUUUACCAACCAAAUUCCAUUAUUAAAAACGGAAUAUAAUGCAAAAUAUAUUAUCCCCAACGUUAAACCCAAUCUUUUUGGUAAUAUUUUUUUUUGGGCAACCCGGAAUAUUUUUAUUCCCAUUUUCGGAUUUUAUUUUCCUAUUUUUAACGUUAAUUUACUUUUUAUUACCCAAUUUUCGAAAUAAAAACGAAUAAAAAUUUAUAAAUUUUAUAUUCGAUUAAUUUUAAUAUUUUUACAACCGCGACCCCGAACGCGAAUUAUUUAUUCCCAAAUAUAACGUCGAAAAUAUUUUAAUUUGCAAAAUUUUUAAAUUUUAAUAUUACCGUUUAUAACGCACCAAUUUGCGCCAAUUUAUCCAUAUUUAAUUAACCGCCCCAAAUACCUAUAAUAUUACCAAAUCCGCCCUAUUAUAUAUACGUUAUUUUAAAAAAAUAUUACGAAAUUUUAAUAUAUAAUAACGGUUGCGUAAUAACGGUAUCGAAUUUUAAUUCGAUAAUAAAAAUCCCGUUUUUAUCGACAACGUUUUUUUACGCCAAAAAUUCGGGAAAUUAAUAUAAUAUAUACGUAUUUACGGUUAUUUUAACCCCACGAAAUUUUAAUUUCCGGGAACCGGGAAAUAUUCGGCCAAAAAUAUAUGCAAUACCAAUUGGUUAAAAUAAACGUUUAAUAUAACCGACCAAAAUAUUUCAUCCAUAAUUUUUUUAUUAUAUAAAUUUAUAUUAAUAGUAUUUUAACAAUUACGCUACCACCGUCCAUUUUAUACGUUAUUAUAAAAUUCCAAUAUAAUAUAUAAAAAUAUAAAUUUUUUUUCGCAAAUUACAAAUUUUUUUAUAUCGAUAAAUUAUCGCGCCAUAUUUAUAUUAAUUUUUUUUACCUACGGCCAUUUUUUAUAAAAAAACAAUUAUUUAUUACGGGCAAUCGCGUUAUAUUUAAUACAAAAUGGAAUCCCAAAACGCGUUAUAAAUACGUUAACCGGGUUCGAAUUAUAUUUAUUAUAUAAAAAUACCAAAUAAUAAAA
rnacentral:sRNA from 1 species